UACAGAGGGUGCUAGCGUUGUUCGGAAUCAUUGGGCGUAAAGGGCGUGUAGGCGGUUUGUUAAGUCAUGUGUGAAAUCCCUCGGCUCAACCGGGGAACGACGCAUGAAACUGGCAAGCUAGAGUACCAAAGAGGGGGGUAGAAUUCCACGUGUAGCAGUGAAAUGCGUAGAUAUGUGGAGGAAUACCGAUGGCGAAGGCAGCCCCCUGGGAUAACACUGACGCUCAUGCACGAAAGCGUGGGGAGCAAACAGG
rnacentral:rRNA from 1 species